UCGUCGUCAGCUGUUUCGUCUCCACUCUCCAAUUUUCUUUUAUUUUUUGCCAGUUCCUUCCAUUUUUAUAACAUUUUAGCCGCUUCGUUCUAUGUAGUUUGAAGUAUUGCUUUGCUAGUUACAAAAUGGUUUUAACUUUUGCUGUUGCGACGAAGUUUAAACGAUAACGGCGCAGCAGGCGCGCUUUUAUUAUCGCUGCUUUAGAAUGGAACGAAGCCUCAGUGAAAUUGGCGCUUUCGUUUCGUCUCCCUACUAUUUUUCUUCUCUUCCGACAGUGGAUCCCUCGCCUCAGUCACCUGUGGAGGAGUCACUAUCUAUAACGCCAUCAGCAGCUGCUUGUGCGGACCGUCCGGCGAUGAGAUCCGCUGUGCAGCGAAUAGCUUUAACUUCUGUGUUUUACGCAGUUCCUUGUCAGACCCUUGCACAGGCGCUGCUAGGGAAAAUUCUGGUCAGGCAGCUCGAAAGUGGCACUCUAAUCAAAGGGAAGAUCGUCGAAACCGAAGCAUAUCCCGGGGAAACGGAUCGGGCAUCCCAUACCUUCAACGGGAAAACUAAGCGCAAUGCAGCCAUGUUUGCACAAGCAGGGACCGCGUAUGUUUAUUUUGUUUACGGCAUGUAUGACUGCUUCAACAUCAGCGCUCUCGAACCCGGUGCUGGAGUGCUAAUUCGCGCUAUCGAGCCGCUGGACGGUGUGGAAGCCAUUCGGAAUUUCCGUAAAAACGGUGAUCGUGUUAAACUGCUGCAGUUGUGCAAUGGCCCAGGACGGUUAUGCCAGGCCUUCAACAUCACGACAGCUGUAUUUAAUGGGCGGGAUUUGACGGAAAAACGGGAAUUAUGGCUCGAAGAUGACACUACCCAGCAGCCGAUCACGGUAGUGUCCGCGCCGCGGAUCGGAAUUGAUUCAUACGGCGCCGAAUGGGCGGCUAAGCCGUGGCGCUACUAUAUUCUCGGCAACCAGUUUGUCAGUAAACGGGAUAAGAUUGCAGAGGCUAAUUUGUCCGUAGAAGUUUUACGCCUGCCGAAUUCAGAAUCAGGAAGUGCUCGUCGAAAGCGCAAAAACAGGAGUGAAUGAGAACUUCAAAUGAAAUGGCCAAAGUUGUGGUUGACUGUUUAACUGUGCCGGUAUUGCGAGGGAUUCUUAUUUCUUAAUUUUUUAUUUGCUGCAUUCCUGUGAAUUCUUACAUUUGAAAGCUUACCUGUUUUUAGAUUCAGGGUUUGUUGAAUUCGAAAAUUAAAAACACAGAACCGUAUUUGAUACCGCGAAGAUUUGUUUAAAAAGUGUCUGCCGCAUGGACUUCUGAAAUUGGAUGUUACUAGUGCAUCCGAAACAGUAUUUUCGUUUUCUUUGUUUAAGAACUCUGGAAUAAAUAUUUCAAAACGUUUUUAACAACUGCGAAUGUGUCAUCGGCCAUCAGCUAUCGCUACUGCAAAGGGAAAACACUCGAAAUGGGAAAAUAAUUCGGCGAUUGCAGUUAUGCUAAUUGCCGACGCCGCACGGUGAUCUACAGUACGAUUUACAAUUACUAAUUUUGUCAUACCAUAAUAGUGAAGUGCUAUGCACUGCUCUUACUGAAUGCUACGAUAUGACAUCACAUGUGUUGCACAACAUCAGAAGCGCGCUGUCAUGGUCUGUGUAUAAUAUACACAGACCAUGGCGCUGUGAUUUCGCAAGUUUUUGAGUGUUAUGACUUCUGUGUUGUGGUUUCUCUCGUACUUCCCGUAAUAAAAGUGAAUUACCGUACUUUCCAUUCAUAUUUUUAUCUAAAUAUUCCACUGGUUAUUUUAAUUGUCGGUUGCUUUUCAGUAUACUUACGAUUUAGCAUUUGUGAUGCCGCAUUUAAACUAUGGUUCCCCUGUCAUUGGCCCGAUUCGCUGUCAACCUACAGAUGGGUCCAUCGGUGAAUCCCAGAGACGAUGUUGCACUCCAUCUGGGAUUCUUAUUGUCGCCCAAUUCUCGCCUCUCCGUUAAUACUAUUCAACGGAACCAAUGGGGAACGCCAAUGGAC